GAGUUUGAUCCUCGGCUCAGGAUGAACGCUGGCGGCGUGCUUAACACAUGCAAGUCGAACGGAAAGGCCCCUUCGGGGGUACUCGAGUGGCGAACGGGUGAGUAACACGUGGGUGACCUGCCCUGCACUUCGGGAUAAGCCUGGGAAACUGGGUCUAAUACCGGAUAGGACCGCAUCGUGAGGAUGUGGUGGAAAGUUUUUUCGGUGCAGGAUGGGCCCGCGGCCUAUCAGCUUGUUGGUGGGGUAAUGGCCUACCAAGGCGGCGACGGGUAGCCGGCCUGAGAGGGUGGACGGCCACAUUGGGACUGAGACACGGCCCAGACUCCUACGGGAGGCAGCAGUGGGGAAUAUUGCACAAUGGGCGCAAGCCUGAUGCAGCGACGCCGCGUGGGGGAUGAAGGCCUUCGGGUUGUAAACUCCUUUCAUCAUCGACGAAGGGCUCACUUGUUGUGGGUUUGACGGUAGGUGGAGAAGAAGCACCGGCUAACUACGUG
rnacentral:rRNA from 1 species